AAGGAAGGAAAGAAGAAAGGGAGGAAGAAAGGAAAACAGGGAGCCUAGAGAAAGGAGGGAGAAAAUAAGAAAAAAAAAAGAGAGAGAGAAAGGUAGAACCUGGAUUCUCUUCGUGGCCUGUGCUGAGGACUACAUCAGUCUCCUGCAAUUAUCAUCUACACUGAAAAACAAAGAGGACAGAGGCGAAGCUAGUGGCCCUCACCAUCCCCUGCAAGCUGAUUGCUUCUUACUGCAAGCACUUGAGCAUCUUCCUGAGAGCUUUCUUGGGCAAUGGGAACCAGGCUUGGCCCAAUCACAGGCAGGUGAAGUAUGAGGAAAUGGAGAAGGCAUUGUCCAAGGAGCAGUCUUCAACCUUCACCCCGCAAACGGAAUCUCACUCUGUCUCCCAGGCUGGAGUGCAGUGGUGCGAUCUCGGCUCACCGCAAUCUCCGCCUCUCGGGUUCACGCCAUUCUCCUGCCUCAACCUCCAGAGCAGCUGGGACUACAGGUUCCUGCCACCACGCCCGGCUAAUUCUUUGUAUUUUUAGUAGAGACGGGGUUUCACCGUGUUAGCCAGGAUGGUCUAGAUCUCCUGACCUCGUUAUUUGCCUGCCUGGGCCUCCCAAAAUGCUGGGAUUACAGGCGUAAGCCAUCACACCCAGCCGGCACAGUGCUUUUAAGCAUAUGGUUGAUCCAUAUGGUGGCAGUGUCAUUACUUAAUUUUUUUAAUAGUUGAAUAAUAUUCCAUUGUGUGGAUAUAUAACAUUUAAAAAAUCAAUUUAUAAAUUGAUGGACAUUUGGAUUAUUUCCACUUUUUGGCUAUUGUAAAUAAUGG
rnacentral:lncRNA from 1 species